GGUCUCGUAGCUCAGCUGGUAGAGCGUGCGCUCUACAAAAAUGUGAACGACGUCCAUACAUGGAUUCGAAUCCCAGCGAGACCA
rnacentral:tRNA from 1 species